ensembl:snRNA U6 U6 spliceosomal RNA
GUGUUCACUUGGGCCCUACAGAUACUAAAACUGGAAGGAUACAGAAAAGAUUAGCACGGCCUCUGUGCAAGAAUGACCCAAAGGUUGCCAGCAGUCUUU